CAGCAGCGUGGCUGUCGGAAACGACUUUGGCUUUUCCUCUCCUGUCCCAGGAACUGGCGACGCCAACCCCGCUGUGUCUGAAGAUGCCUUAUUCAGGGACAAGCUGAAACACAUGGGAAACCACCCGGAGGAAACUGUUUGAACUUGCCCGAGCCUUCUCAGAGAAGACCAAAAUGAGGAAGUCAAAGAGGAAACACUUGUUGAAGCAUCAGUCGCUGGGGGCUGCCGCGUCAACAGCCAACCUCCUGGAUGAUGUGGAGGGCCACGCGUGUGGUGAGGCUGGAGGGGAGUCGUAAGCUCCAACUUCUCUAUGAUCGGUGAUCUCCCAGCGGAGUUCCUGGGUGUUUCAUGGGAGCACCCGCCCUGUCCCCUGGAGGAACACACUGAGGAUGAAGACUUCCGGGGCAGGCGUCAGGAGGCACCCAAGGUGGAGGAAGGCCUGCGAGAAGGACAGUAAGAGAUGCCAGCAGCUCUUCCUUGCCAGAGAUGAUCUGACCCGGUGGGGGCAGCUGGAAAGCAACACUGGCCCCCAGCUGAAGGGCCCAGCUGCAGCCAGACAGAUGGUGCUUGAGAACCGAGGCCCGGUGAUCCUCCAGCCACAGUCCAGCCCAACCACUGCCACUUUCCAUGGGACUUAGAACUUCGGAGUUGCUGCCUUGCAAUUGGAGGAAGGACCUGGGGCCCCUAUAGGCAGCAGCCAAUUACAGCCCCUUUUGUAGCCAGGCGUUCCUAUGGUCAAAGAGUGGAAAUGCAGGAACCAACCUCCC
rnacentral:lncRNA from 10 species